UACGGGGGGUGCGAGCGUUGUCCGGAAUCACUGGGCGUAAAGGGCGCGUAGGUGGCGCGGGCAGUCAACGGUGAAAGUUCGGGGCUCAACCCCGAAUCGGCCGUCGAUACUCCCGGGCUUGAGCACUGUAGAGGCUAAUGGAAUUCCGGGUGUAGCGGUGGAAUGCGUAGAGAUCCGGAAGAACACCGGUGGCGAAGGCGGUUAGCUGGACAUUUCCUGACGCUGAGGCACGAAAGCCAGGGGAGCAAACGGG
rnacentral:rRNA from 1 species